ACUUUGGUAGUAAAUAGCAGGUAGACAAAGGCUUAUUAUGUAUCGAUAAACAGAAGGAAAAUAUAAAUCAACGUCUUAUAAGGAAACUUAAGGUUUGUUUAAAUGUGUGUGUGUAUAACCAUUAUGUUUGGUUAUAACUUUAACUUUUAGUGUUAUUGCAGUUUGAGCUACUGCGUAUUAGCUAGUCGAAAUACCAAAGUAUGCAUUUUCUGAAAAUAAACAUGUAACUGGAUAUCAGAACAUGGCGGCUUUAUAAUACGCGUUUACAUGUGCCUCAGCAUAAUCACAGCUGUUACGGUGCGAUUUUGAUUGCGGAUUGAAAAGUGAAGACAGGGGAAGAAAAACAUGGCGCACGCGCUGAAAUGUGGUCCUUGCUUGUUCGAGGGUGUUACAGUUGAUCCAAAACAUUUCUGUGUGGACUGCUCGGAAUAUCUGUGCACGGCGUGUGCACGAGAACAUCGAAGACACAAAACAUUACGUGAGCAUAAAUUACUCGGAGAGACGGAACUGCCACAAGACGCAACAUUAUUUGAAGAAAUGAAAAAAUUGUCGCAUUGCUCCAAACACGAUGACAUUGAACUUGACCAGUAUUGUAAAAAUCAUAAUGUUUUGAUAUGCCUGCAUUGUCUGAAAAACGACCACAGAUUGUGUGAAGAUCGGAUAGAUCUUACAAAAUUGUUGGAAAAUGAAUAUGCGACUGAAAAUGUACGUGAACGAAUCUUUGAGCUCCAGAGAAAGUGUCAAGUACAACUGACCGAAACGAUGGAAUUAUCAAAGGAUGCAAAUACCAAUAGCAAAGAAGUAGAACAGCAUAUCAAUACUUUAGUUGAUACCUUGAAGAAGAACGUUCACAAUCUAGAAAAGAAGUUAAACAAAGUGCGCGAAAGUUUAAUAUCGCCUGUAACGGAGUCUAUUAGACUUUCUAAGCAAACAUUGUCAAUUAUCGAAAAAAAAGCGUUACGUUAUGUGAACCUGUUCGAUGUAGCGUCAAAGUUUGGUACGAUGAAACAUAAUGUAGUCUUCCAUUUCUUGGUAUCAAUGUUGAUGAAAGAAUUAGAAGCAGAUGACUUACUGAAGAAGAAUUCAACUUCAAAGAUAAAAUGUGUACAAGCUAUCAGCACUGAAGAGAUUGCAAGCAUGAUGGGUCAAUGCAGUAUAGCGUUAGCAUGCUCGGACGAACAAGGCUCGGAAUCGUGCAGUGAUGAAGCAUUAGAUGAACAUUCAUUGAGAUUUCCCACUCCUAAAACACGAACUGUAGCAACACAAGUAGAAGGACUGGUUGAUUUAAAUACAAAUACAUUAGAGAAGUCUCUACAUAAAAUGAAGAUAUUGUAUAAUAAUGUAAAAUUAUUGAUUUGUGAAUGUCCUAAACAAAACGGGAAGUAUGCUCCAGUUAUUGGUUUAGAUGUAUUAACGGACGGAAGAAUACUUCUACUUCAUUCACGUAUGAUAAAGGUAUAUUCACUUAAACUGGUUUUGAUUUCGAAGUUUAGUUUCGAUGUCAAUUUCCGUGCUAAAGAUAUGUGUGUUCUGGAAGAAAAUGAAUACGGCGUGUUUACGGUGGCAAUUAGUCUUGCCAGUUUUUGUAACAUGAAAACCAAAAUUACAUUGAUAGAAUAUACUGACGGAUUUCGUGAGAAACACGCUAUUAAUUGUAGGUACUUCAUCAACAGCAUCACACUGCUAGGUCAUCAUGUGUUAGUAGUUGGGUCGGAUCAAAUCCAAUUGCUUGACAUCUCUACUGGUCGCGUGUGUUAUGCCUUUGACGAAACAAUGUGGGCAAGCAACGGAUCAAAGAUUAAUACGACCAUAAACAGAGUCAGAGCUUGUAAAGCAACUAAUAAAAUUGCACUAGCCUGCAAUGACACAGUUUACAGAGUAAAAAUAGAAGAUGGUGAAUGCCAAAAAGACACACUGCAUGCAGUAUGUCCGUUUGUUUGGAAAUACAUACGAUGUCUUGAAAGCCAACCGGAAAUUAAGGACAACGCAGAUAUUAAGUGGGAUUCGCAAGGGAACAUGUAUAUUGCAAAUAAUUGCGGUGUGUAUCAAUUUUGCAUUGGUAAUAGUCUUUUCAAAGAGAGACCUUUGAUAACAGUCCGUGAAAAUUGUUCAGCAAUAGCAAUAGAUGAAGAGAGAAACCGGAUAGUAGUUGGUUGUUCAACUUCAAAUCGUAUAUACGUAUACGAGUACGAACUACCUGCUGAAGAAUAGGACGUGAUUAACGCAGUCGUGAUAUUCGCUACAUUUAUGAAAAACUAGACUUACUUUUGUUAGUGAACUGCAUUCAGCUGAUGUUUUGGACGGAUCACGACUUAGUAAAUUCAACAAAAGAGAAAAUCGUAAUAAGUCAAAUGCGACGAUGCGAAUGCCUUAAAAUUGCCUCAAGAUCAGUUGUAAAAAUUAUCCAAAGAAUUAUACUGUUUAAUAGCGUAUACUCGAGGACAUGUACUGUGUGAAUAUAUCAUAAAAAUAAUGCUUUGAAAAUUUAUGCGCCGAUAUCAUAAACUAUGAUAAAAUCAUGUUUAUACAAUACCAUAUAUAUGCGUCUUGUGCAUAAAAAAGUUAUCUAAUCCAUAUAACUUUUGGAAACGGACGUACAUGUAUAAAUGUUAUCAUUGUUUUGCAUCAAGUGCGUUAUAACGUUAUACAAUGUAUUUAACUUGGAGAAAUUAAAACUUGUAAAAUGUUUAUGUUUAUAGUAUUUAAUGCCAAUUUUAUUCUUAUCUAGCGCAUUUGAAUGUUAUCAAACUCGUUUUAUUGUGAAAACUCUAUUGAAUGUAUGUACCAAUUCAUGUUUGUAACUCAAAUGAAAAUGUUGUCCAAUUCGUUUAACUUUUGGGUACCUUAUUAUAUGUAUAUAUACCACUUAAAAGUUUGUAUGUAGUGCAUUAAAAUUUGAUCCGAUUAAUUUAACCUUUUAGUGUAAAUCUAUUUAUUUAAGAUCGAUUGCAUCCAAAGCCUAAGGCGUAUUGGAAACGCUCUCGAGUCCGUUUCACUGGGACUAUAACAAGAACUUGGUGUCUAUGGGGGAGAUCUUAAGAACGCUCCCACAGUGUGGAUCGAACCUAUGACCUCCCGGUCGAUUGGCGGACAACACAUCCACUACGCCAAGGCGACCCUAAAUUCAAGAUGUGUGAUAUAAUCGGGCGACAACUACAACUGAUGUAGUUCUAGUUUAAAGCAUGUACAUGUAUUUGUUUUGAGGAGUACCUGAAGACCCUAAAUGUCAUUGUCAACAUCAGUCAAAGAACAAAACCACAAAACCAAUAAUUCAAUAAAAGAUACAAUUGAGCAUUGAUGAAAAAGCGAGAGUCGGCAUGCGAUAUUAUUUCAGCGAUAUAUGAACAGAAAAAAUAUUGAGUAUCGCGCAAAAUAUCCUGUAUCGCUUCUUGUGCCGUGUGUCGCGGUCUGAAAUUAGACCGCGAUACACGAGAUUCGGAUAACAUGGGCGAUAUUUGAAUAACAACAUAUCAUGUAUCGUUUCGUGUGUCGCUUCGCAUUUCGUCCUUUGAAUGCGAGACAUGAUAUGUUGCGCGAUACUCAAAUCGACACACGAUAUCACGAAGCGACACGCGAUAUUUACCACGAUACAUCGCCUUUUGGGCUACCUACACAAGGGCGAUAUUUCGUGGUACAUUCUCGCGCGUCGCUUCGUGUAUCGCGCAAAAUAUAUUGUGUCGCGCAAAAUAUCGUGUAUCGCUUCAUGUGUCGUGUGUCGCCCUUGAUGAAUGAAGGGCGAGAUUAUAGAUGGCUUUAUCCGGAUUCCGUAUUAUAGGAAAAGUAAAAUUACAUUGAUGGAAUAUACGGACGGAUUUUGUGAGAAAUACACUAUUACUUGUACUCACGACAUUAAUAGCACCACCUUGCUUGGUCACCAUUUGUUAGUUGUUGGAUCGGGUCCAAUCUAGUUGCUUGACAUCUCUACAGGUCACGUCUGUUAUGCCAAAAUGCUUUACGAAAAAAUGUGGGCAAGCGAUGGAUAAGAUAUUUAUACGGCCAUAAAUAUUGUUCGAGCUUGUAAAGCAACUAAGAAAAUUGCACUAGCCUGCAGUAACACAGUUUACCAAGUAAACAUAGAAGAUGGCGAAUGUCAAAAAGACACAUUGCAUGCAGUAUGCCCGUUUGUUUGGAAAUACGAACACAAAAAACACGCCAAAAUCGAACAUUGAGAACAAUAAAGAUGUUAAGUGGGACUUGCAAGGGAAUAUGUAUAUUGCAGGUACGUGCGGGGUGUAUCAAUUUUGCCAUGGGAGUGGUCUUUUCAAAGCGAGUCCUCUUAUCCUUAAAUAUUGUACAGCAAUAGCGAUAGAUGAACAAAGAAACAGGAUUGUGGUUGGUUAUUAAUAUCCAAAUCGUAUACACGUGUACGAGUACGAACUACCAGCUGAAGAAUAGGACGUGAUUAAGGCAGUAUUGAUGUUCGUUACAUUGAUGAGAAACUUUACUUAUUGUUGUUUAUGAACUUCAUUCGGCUGAUGUUUAUGCCAGAUAGAGACUUAGUAAAUACUACAAAGGAAAACAAUUGUAAUAAGUAAAAUGAGACGAAACGGAAGCCUUAAAAUUGCUCUCAAGAUCCGUUGUCAAAAUUGUUUACAUUUAAAAAUUAUCAAACGAAUGAUAUUUUUGAUAGCUUACACUCGGAUAUGUACUUUGUGAAUAUAUCAUAAAAAUGCUUUAAAAUGUUUUCGCCGAUUCAUUUCUUUUGUAUAACCUAGUAUAUAAUUAUGUUUAUACACAACCAUUUGUAUGUAUAUUACGCAUAACACAGUUAUCCCAUCCAUAUAACUGUUGAAAACUUUACUGCAUUUGUAAAUGUUAUCAUUGUUUUGGAUCUGGUGCGUUAUAACGUAACAAAAAUGUUUGAAUUUUUAAAAAGUUAAACUCGUAAAAAGUUUAUGUAUAUAGUUUAUAAUUUCAAUUUGGGUAUAUCUAGCGCAUUUGAAUGUUAUCGAACUCAUUUUAUUGUAAAAACUAUAUUUAAUGGAUGUACCAUUUCAUGUAUGUUACUAGUGCAUUAAAAUGUUGUCCGAUUGGUUUAACUUGAGGGUAUCCUAGUAUAUGUACACUGAGACUUUUUUAACGCAACACGUAUUCAAAUCAAUAUAGCUCCCUUUUCUUUGAACAGAUUUUGUUUAAAUUUGGACUAAGACUUAUUCAACUCAUAUCUAAUAAUCCAAGUAAAUUUAAUUGAAAUUGAUCAACAAUAAAAUAUAAAACAUAACAACAACAAAAAACAAUCAUUGAAGAAGCAAAAUUCUCAAAUCGUUCAUCGUAAAUGAAUAAUGUGAAACGUAAAACGCAUUUACCUACACGUCUUAAUGACCGACCGGCUUGUAAUAUUGCACUCAUACGAGCCAUAUUGCUUUUCUUAUUAAUGUUAUGUUUUCCUGGUGUAAAAAUCCACCUAGAAUGAUGAAAUGGAUAUCAAUUUGGAAUUAUAUAGCGCUCUGUACUACACUUGAUGACUUUUCGCACGCAGCAUUUUUAAACUUAAAUAUCUCAGAGUUGGUUAAAUAUUUUGAAUUUUUGAUUUAAAAUUGUACAUGUGAUUAUUUUCCUGGUGUAUCAACCUAAAAUGAAGACAUAGAAAUAAAAUUAGAAUCCUAUCGCCUUUCACCAUUUUCCCAUGCAAAAAUAUGAAACCACGCCUCCCAAACGUGCAUAAGCGCCUGAUUGUCACUGAUGAAUGAUUGUAUCGUAAUCUUGCACAUAAUAUAUUCAAAUGAUAACAUUUGAACUUUUAAAUAAAAAUCUUAACUCAUUACAGAAAUAUUCAAGUUUGAAAAGUGUUGCGUUAGAAAAGUCUCCAAGUGUAUAUACAACUUAAAGUUUGCAUGUAGUGCAGUAAAAUUUGAUCCGAUGUAUAUAACCUUUUAUCAAUACUAUAUGUAUCUAGCAUUUUAUAACAUUUUCCAUAUUUAAUUUUGUUUGAUCUCUUAGGCUAUAACAGCUAUCAACCUUAACUUUCGUGGGCAGAUUGUAUUAGAAAAAGUACUUUUCACGAAAACAGUAACUCUGCACGUUAUACUGUUUGACGUAUUGCGAUAUGUACCAGGUAAAUGUAAAUAAUAUGUUUUGUUUUGAGCAUCAAUAUCACAACUGUUAUUGUGCAAGAUGUGUAAUAUAAUCGGGCGUCAAGCAACACUUA